CAAGAGAGAUACACUAUUGCCACCUGCCGCAUCCGUGAUAUAUAUCCGGUCAUCAUCGGCGCCGGGCAUCCGUGUGUACACCCGCGCCAGACACGAGGUCUUGUUUCUCGCCCGGCGAUCAAGCGGGAGGCACUUCCGUCGCGAGAUGUUCAAUCGACGCAGCGUCCUCGCCGUCCUGCUGCUACUGUGCGCCCUGCUGACCGACGUCGCUCCGACGCUGCGGUCACUGCGCGCGAAGCAUGUGCGCGUUUUAAACGGAAGGUGCAUCUACCGGGGCAGAUCCGUAUGGGAAGCUUACAUCACCCUUGCAGACGGGAAGUGCUUGAAAGCUCGAUGCAAGCCCAAGGAACGCCUGCUGCACUUCAUUCCGAUGAAGGAAUGUAUGCUCCCAGCUGCUGGUAGGGGAUGUUUCUACGAGGACGGACUUUUGGAACAGCAAUGCUGCAGGCCGACCACGAUUUGCUAUUAGCUACAGCCCCAAAUUAUCGGUGCCCUGUGCCCUCGCAGUCUGUGCUUCGUACUUAACGAAACAGAAGAAUAAACGAUUCGUUGGA